GGCACUCAGUGUUACUGAAACUCUGAUCAAACCUUUGGAAAGAUUUAGGAAAGAGCAGCUAGGAGCUGUAAAGGAGGAAAAGAAGAAGUUUGAUAAAGAGACAGAGAAGAACUACAGUUUGUUAGAAAAGCACUUGAAUUUAUCAGCUAAGAAGAAAGAGCUACAAUUACAAGAGGCAGAUAACCAAGUGGAGCAGAAUAGAAAACACUUCUAUGAGCUGUCCCUCGAGUAUGUAUGCAAGUUGCAAGAGAUACAGGAGCGGAAGAAAUUUGAGUGUGUGGAACCUGU